UUCUAUUUCUCUCUCUACUUUCCUCCACUCAAAACUCGCCACGUGUAACAACUACCGUUAUUCUUCCUCUUGCUUCCUACGCGGCCCAUAGCCCAAAUCUUGGAACCAAACUUUUGGGCUUUGCGGCCCGAUACCUUUGGAGCCGCUCUUUUGGGCUUAGGGCUUCGUUCUCUCAGAAAAUCAGACGCGGCUGGCUGCGAUUAGGGUUUUCAGAAGAGGAACUCCGGUCCAUCUCGGCAUCGGAGAACGAUGUUCGGCUUUAGAUCCUUGUGCUGGAAUUCUUAAUUUCAUGUUGAAAAUUCUAAUUGGUUUCUGGAAGGAUCAGGUUUGGGGUAGAUCGAACUGGAUCUGAAGAGAUGGACAGUGGGUGGAGACUGAGGAUGGGUUGGGAAUGAAGAUCCUUAAUAAUUUUCCCUGUGUAAUUCGAUCCGAAGCCAUUGAUGAUUGAAAAGAAAGCUUUUUUGUAAAAGGGGAGCGUGGAUUUGAUUGUUGACUUGGGUCAGGGUCAAAUUUCCAAUUUAAGUUUACUCUGUUUUGCCUCAAGAGAGAAGAAUCAAAAGGAUUGUUAUGCUAUUAUUACGAAGGUAAAAAGUGAUAAUAAUUCAGCUGAGCUUGGAUCUAUAACAUCAAUCAAAGCCAUGUACAAUAGGGGUUUUAUUAUAUGUAUGAGAAGUCAAACGUGGGAGAUCAGCAGCUAAUGGAUCUUGGUGUUGGAAGUAUUAUACCUCAUCCUUAUUUGGUAUUAUAUCUCAUCAAUAUAUAAAUAUGUAUAUAUAUGUUGUUUAACUUUAUCUUAGACUAUAUUAUGAUGAGAUUUGCAUUUUAGGCUACUAAGUGCUGAUAUAAAUACAUCAAAGUUGUGUUUUGUGGACAAAAGUUUCAUGCUUGGACUUUUGGGGUGAGGUAAUGUGGCAGAUCUUGAUCUCUUCUUUUCAUUAUUUUAUUUACACUUUCUUAUUAAUGGAAUAGUUUGAUUAUAGAUCAUUUAUGCUUAUCAUUGAGCUCUGUUUGGUGUGAUUAAACAUGACACUGUGAACAGAUUUCAUAGAUAGAAAGAAAAAGAAGAAUCAUAGAAUCCGAUCACCCUUUUUUUUGGUUGAAUUUUAGUUUCUUUUUUUCUUCCCUUUUUUUGAUUAGCAAUUUACAGUUAAUUAAACAAAUUAGUUGCUUUUGCUUAAUAAGUCAUAUCCCUUUUUGUCUUUCUGUCUGGGGGGGCCAUUUACAGUUAAUUUGUUUUGGAUAUGAUGGUGUUUCUGAGUUACAGAAUUUGGUUUUUUUAGUGUUAAAUACCAGAAUUUUCAGGUUUUUGGAUAAGGAAACUUUCGUUUAAUUUAGUUAAAGAUUGCCUUAUUUCAAUACCACUGCUUAGUGUAAAUUUAGUAGUUUUGUUUCGACAAAAUUAUAUAUGUAUAGUAUACAUCUCAUCUCGUUUUGAUUGCUUGAUUCGUUCGUUUAUUGUUUGUAAUAUUAGAUUCUGUUUUAUUUAUUUUAAUAUAUUAAGUGCUGAUCUAGUUGGGAUGCUUUCCUAUUAGCAGCUUGAUGCUUUUCUACUAUUA